CAUUGUGGGAAGCAGCCAUGGUCUGAGGCGGGCACCUCACCUGUCAGCCGCGCCGGCUCCUGCGCUCGCCUCUCGCCCUCGAGUCCACCGCGGUCGUCUCUCGCCCGCGGGGACGGCGGCGGCGGCCCGGCCACCAUGUCUUUGCAAGUGUGAAAAUUCAAAGGUCGUUUCCCCUCUUUCACUCGAUUGAUAAUUUGGUUGGAUGUAGGCCUGUAGUCUUCCAACAAAUGCAGAUUCAUUUCAUAUUGCUCUUCAGUCGACAAGGGAAAUUACGGCUGCAGAAAUGGUACACUACUCUCCCUGACAAGGAAAGGAAAAAGAUCACCCGGGAAAUUGUUCAGAUUAUUCUCUCUCGUGGUCAGAGGACAAGCAGUUUUGUUGAUUGGAAGGAGCUAAAACUUGUUUAUAAAAGGUAUGCUAGUUUAUAUUUUUGCUGUGCAGUAGAAAAUCAGGACAAUGAGCUCUUGACACUAGAGAUUGUGCAUCGUUAUGUGGAGAUGCUGGACAAAUACUUUGGAAAUGUCUGCGAGCUAGAUAUUAUCUUUAAUUUUGAAAAGGCUUAUUUUAUCCUGGACGAGUUUAUAAUAGGUGGAGAAAUUCAGGAAACAUCCAAGAAAUCUGCUGUUAAAGCCAUUGAGGAUUCUGAUAUGUUACAGGAGACAAUGGAAGAAUACAUGAACAAGCCUACGUUUUAACCAUGCAUCUACUUGAAGACUCCAAGUGCUACAUGUUGUGAACCUGUAAAUAAGCAGUGCCUUGCAUCCAGUUAUUUGACAGAGCCUCUGGCACCAUGCCAAAAAUAACUUAAAAGGGAUUUUUUUUUAAUUAGCAAAAAUUAAAGUUGUUUAACAUAAUGUAUUUAUCAUUAUUCGUGUCUGUAUUAUACUGUAUAUGACUACUUGGAUGUUAAAACAACUGCUUCAUUGCUCAAUAGGCUGAAUGUUUGUUUGCAGUGUUUUAACUCCAUGUCAUAUUUUUGAGCUAAUUUAAAUACAUUUAUUUUGUUGCAUUUGGUCCUCUACUGACAGGGUGUAAACUAUAUUGUCAUUAGCCAUGAUUUUGAAUGUAAAGUAUAUCUUGUAUCGAUAAUACUUUUUCUAAAUGUUUAGCUUUUUAAAUUGUAUAAUGAUUCAAAAUUAUGUUAAUAGUUCAGAGUUCAUACAUGACGUUAGACAUUUUUAAUACACUUAAUACUGUAAUUUCAGUCCAGAUACAGUGUAUCUGAUUUUAAUGUCCUGAAUUCAUUAAUUUUUCAGAGCUGGAAUUAAGGGCAACAACCAAAGAUAGUAUAGGCCUUAAGUGUUUUUGAUGCCUUGGAAGCUGCUAUCUAGGCUGAGGUUUUAAUUUUACCUUUUAAUUGAAUAUAAGGGGCAUUCCAAUAAGGUUGUGUUUUGUAUAAACUCUAUGUAUUUAUUAAGGUUUUGAGACAUCUGAAAAAGUGUCUAUAACUUCCCUUACUUAAAAAUAGUAUAAUAAAGAUUAAUAACAGUAGCAAUAAUACUUAUUAAUACUAUUAUUUUAAUAAUCUUUUAUGUUACAAGCACCCUUAGUUGCUUGAGAGAUUUUUGUUUCCAGUAUGUUUUCAUGUAUAUCUAAUAUAUUUGAAGACACUGUUUAUUAGGCUUACUUGGAGCAUUUAAUAUUAUUGCAGCCUGUAUAGUAGGUACCUUUCCUCCUUUUUCUUUCCUCAUCUCCCAAAGAAAAUAUUUGCUGCUGACUGUUAUUAUUAUGACUAUGUCGCAUUCAUGCUUCCUGGAAAGUUCUAUAUAACCAGGUGGUAGAAGUGAUCAGACAUUCUAGGGAAAUAGCUUGUACUGUUCCGUCUGGUGCCCCACUUCUGAUGUCUUCCCUGUGCAUUUUCAAUGUUAGUUUUGAGGUCAAAUGUCAUCAUGUUGCAGUGGUUAGGGACCUUCUAGUAUUCUUCCUAAGAGAAGAGUGUGCUUGCUGUUGGAGAAUCCAACAUGAGGGGAAAAUGUCCUCUUUGAUUCAUCAUGCCGGACGUAUUUAGGGAAAGAUGGCAAGACAAGAGUAGAAGAACAUGAGGAAAAAUUGACCAACUCUAAAAUAUAACCAUUAUUAAAAGGAAAUACUUCAGGUUAGUAUAUGAAGUAAUUAUGGGGCUUUUAAUAUCUAAUAUUUCCUCAAAUUAAUCAUGUAUUUACAAUUAGGGCAUCAGAUUGAAGUUUGUCAUUUUUAUCACUUUGUUUACUUUAGAUCUUUGAUUUUGUGCUUUAGCUUUUUUUUUUUUAAUAUGGCAGAACUCUUUAUUUUAAAAAACAUUGUGUAAAGAUAAACUUUAUGUAAAUUGAUGUAAGUUUUUCUGGUCCUUUUGAAGCUCUCCACCAUUUUUGGAUGAAGGUAUUGAUUGAAUCUCAUUCAAAUGUACUCCACAUAUUCUGGGGAAUUCCAUAUUAGACACUGUCUAGUUAUAGCGGGGCCUCCUCAGACUUCGUGUCAACAGCACACGUAGAGCGUGAACAUAAUGAUAUGGCACUCGGGCAAUUACCUAUCAAGGUGGAACUUCAUAAGCAGGUGACAGCAAAUGAGAGAAGAGAAGUUACUGUUUUGCUCCUAUUGGAUUUUUUCUCACCAUUCACCCACAUUUUGAUAAUCUGAUCUCUUUACAUGUAGUUAAUGACUCAAUCACCCUUUAAAUCUACUACUUUUCUUUCAUUAACAAAUGUAAAGUUGACAUUUCUUAUGAUAAAUCAAGUGAAUUUUUUUUAAAAAUUAUUUAUUUUUGGCUGCAUUGGUUCUUCGUUGCCGCAUUCAGGCUUUCUCUAGUUGUGGAGAGCGGGGGCUACUCUUUGUUGUGGUGCGUGUGCUUCUCAUUGCGGUGGCUUCUCUUGUUGCGGAGCACGGGCUCUAGGCGUGCGGGCUUAAGUAGCUGUGGCAUGCAGGCUCAGUAGUUGUGGUUUGAGGGCUCUAGAGCGCAGGCUCAUUAAUUGUGGCAGAGGGGCUUAGUUGCUCUGCGGCAUGUGGGAUCUUCCCGGACCAGGGCUCGAACCUGUGUCCCCUGCAUUGGCAGGCGGAUUCUUAACCACUGCAUGACCAGGGAAGCCCAAGUGAAUUGUUAAUUCAAACUUUUUCCCAUGUCAAGUCUUCUAAAACAGUAUAAAGCUUUUUCAUCAAACAUACAACAAAUGUUGUUCUUCUACAGCUAGUAAUUCUUCUUUAGGAUUUGUAUUAUAAUACCCAUGAAAUAUCACUCAGAACUGUCUUUAACUUUACUUUUCUAAGUUUUAAUCAAUAAACUUUAUUGGUAAGUGUUAAUAUAUUUUUUUCACAUGGUCCCUGCAAUUUUAAAUUAAGUUCAGUAGAUGCUCUAGAAUGUAAGCAAGCCAAUGACUCUUUCAAUAAUUUGUGAUGAGAGGGUCAUUAAAUUUUUUUUUAAUCCUUAUUGAAUGUUCUAAGCAUUUCCCUUCAGGGCUUAACAGCAUAGUUCCUAACAAGGGUAGACUUAACCGUCUUCUAGAUUAGAUAGAGUUUUCAUGUCGUUGACUUGUCCUUUGUUUAACUAAUAGUAUUAUUCCAAAGUGGUAAUUUUUACUCAUUCCUUUGGAAAAUAGUGAGUGUUUCCAUGGAGGGUGGUAAAGAGAGCAUUUAUGCAAUUGUGUGAGUUAAUGUGGGCUUUUGCUGUUGUUAGCAUGAUCUUAUAACUAGCUUUAUGAGCUACACCUGAUAUUGCUACAAUUUAUAAGAGAACUUUGCUUCUUAUUUUAUACUUGUGCAUGUUUAAAAUGUUAAUCUUGUGUAAAGUGGAUGUUUAGUAGAAAGAUGCCAGCAUAGUUUACUUGAUAAUAUUUUGAAGUAAAUAAGACAUUUAGACUGAAGAAGAGGAAAAAUUACGAGAACACUUGGUUCCAAAUGUGAGAUAAUCCUCAUACGGCUUUAAUAGUGACUUUAAACUCUCUUUUGUACUGUUUUUUGGAGGGAGAGAAAUCUGUUGAAUUUGUGAAGCCUCCAGUUUUAAUAAAAUUUUUCCUCUACGAUAGAAAAAUAUCUGUAAAAUUUGAGACUAUAUAAAUGUGAAGAAAAAAAACUAACGGACUUGUAAGGGGUUUAUGGUCAAAAAUUGUUUCAAAAAUAAUUUAAGUUUUUAUG